UUUCAUUCCAUAUACCUCAUUUAAGGAUGAUGAGUCUGAUAUUUAUCCUCCUGUGAGUUCUCCUUAUUAUAUUGCAUGUCUAUCCCAGUGUUAGUUGAUCACACUAUGUUCAGUCUGUGUUUCCACUAGAUAUUCCAGACUACGAUUCCUGCUCUCUUAUUAUUGUAUUAUCCUUUGCAUUAUUUUUUCUUGGGAGAUGUCACUCCUAGUUAUUGAAAAUCAUACUCAUUUGUAUAUUUCACUAUUUUUUGUGGUGUUUAGAG